GUAGGGUGCGAGCGUUGUCCGGAAUUAUUGGGCGUAAAGGGCUCGUAGGCGGUUUGUCGCGUCGGGAGUGAAAACACCGGGCUUAACUCGGUGCUUGCUUUCGAUACGGGCAGACUAGAGGUAUGCAGGGGAGAACGGAAUUCCUGGUGUAGCGGUGAAAUGCGCAGAUAUCAGGAGGAACACCGGUGGCGAAGGCGGUUCUCUGGGCAUUACCUGACGCUGAGGAGCGAAAGUGUGGGGAGCGAACAGGAUUAGAUACCCUGGUAGUCCACACCGUAAACGUUGGGCGCUAGGUGUGGGGCCUAUUCCAUGGGUUCCGUGCCGCAGCUAACGCAUUAAGCGCCCCGCCUGGGGAGUACGGCCGCAAGGCUA
rnacentral:rRNA from 1 species